rnacentral:rRNA from 1 species
UACGGGGGGGGCAAGCGUUGUUCGGAAUUACUGGGCGUAAAGGGCGCGUAGGCUGUGCUGUAAGUCAGGCGUGAAAGCCCCGGGCUCAACCUGGGAAUUGCGCUUGAUACUGCGGCGCUGGAAGGUGGGAGAGGAUGGCGGAAUUCCCAGUGUAGAGGUGAAAUUCGUAGAUAUUGGGAAGAACACCGGUGGCGAAGGCGGCCAUCUGGCCCAUUUUUGACGCUGAGGCGCGAAAGCGUGGGGAGCAAACAGG